AGAGUUUGAUCCUGGCUCAGAUUGAACGCUGGCGGCAGGCCUAACACAUGCAAGUCGAGCGGUAGCACAGAGAGCUUGCUCUCGGGUGACGAGCGGCGGACGGGUGAGUAAUGUCUGGGAAACUGCCUGAUGGAGGGGGAUAACUACUGGAAACGGUAGCUAAUACCGCAUAAUGUCGCAAGACCAAAGUGGGGGACCUUCGGGCCUCAUGCCAUCAGAUGUGCCCAGAUGGGAUUAGCUAGUAGGUGGGGUAACGGCUCACCUAGGCGACGAUCCCUAGCUGGUCUGAGAGGAUGACCAGCCACACUGGAACUGAGACACGGUCCAGACUCCUACGGGAGGCAGCAGUGGGGAAUAUUGCACAAUGGGCGCAAGCCUGAUGCAGCCAUGCCGCGUGUGUGAAGAAGGCCUUCGGGUUGUAAAGCACUUUCAGCGGGGAGGAAGGCGGUGAGGUUAAUAACCUCAUCGAUUGACGUUACCCGCAGAAGAAGCACCGGCUAACUCCGUGCCAGCAGCCGCGGUAAUACGGAGGGUGCAAGCGUUAAUCGGAAUUACUGGGCGUAAAGCGCACGCAGGCGGUCUGUCAAGUCGGAUGUGAAAUCCCCGGGCUUAACCUGGGAACUGCAUUCGAAACUGGCAGGCUAGAGUCUUGUAGAGGGGGGUAGAAUUCCAGGUGUAGCGGUGAAAUGCGUAGAGAUCUGGAGGAAUACCGGUGGCGAAGGCGGCCCCCUGGACAAAGACUGACGCUCAGGUGCGAAAGCGUGGGGAGCAAACAGGAUUAGAUACCCUGGUAGUCCACGCCGUAAACGAUGUCGAUUUGGAGGUUGUGCCCUUGAGGCGUGGCUUCCGGAGCUAACGCGUUAAAUCGACCGCCUGGGGAGUACGGCCGCAAGGUUAAAACUCAAAUGAAUUGACGGGGGCCCGCACAAGCGGUGGAGCAUGUGGUUUAAUUCGAUGCAACGCGAAGAACCUUACCUGGUCUUGACAUCCACAGAACUUUCCAGAGAUGGAUUGGUGCCUUCGGGAACUGUGAGACAGGUGCUGCAUGGCUGUCGUCAGCUCGUGUUGUGAAAUGUUGGGUUAAGUCCCGCAACGAGCGCAACCCUUAUCCUUUGUUGCCAGCGGUUAGGCCGGGAACUCAAAGGAGACUGCCAGUGAUAAACUGGAGGAAGGUGGGGAUGACGUCAAGUCAUCAUGGCCCUUACGACCAGGGCUACACACGUGCUACAAUGGCAUAUACAAAGAGAAGCGACCUCGCGAGAGCAAGCGGACCUCAUAAAGUAUGUCGUAGUCCGGAUUGGAGUCUGCAACUCGACUCCAUGAAGUCGGAAUCGCUAGUAAUCGUAGAUCAGAAUGCUACGGUGAAUACGUUCCCGGGCCUUGUACACACCGCCCGUCACACCAUGGGAGUGGGUUGCAAAAGAAGUAGGUAGCUUAACCUUCGGGAGGGCGCUUACCACUUUGUGAUUCAUGACUGGGGUGAAGUCGUAACAAGGUAGCCGU
rnacentral:rRNA from 1 species